GAAAACAACAUUUUGAGAAAACUAGUAGAGCUAAUGAUAAAAGGGUUUCAUAGUAACUUGAAAACAUAAAAUUUACAAUGGAAAACUCUAUUGCAGUCCAACGAAACUCCAAAAUACUCAACAUCAAAAUCACAAGUGAGAACAAUGCUAACUCGUCUGUUUGAUCCCCAGCGCGGCUGCUGCAGGAACAGCCCACAGAGACCAAGAGUCAAUCGGACCCAUUGUUCAAGUCUGCUGAAGUAACAAGGAGUUAACUGUGGCUCCGAAACUGGUUUCAUCAUCCUGAAAACGUUCUGGCUCAUAGUCUGUGAGUCAAAAACAAUAAGCCAAAAACUCUAACAACCCAGCACUGCCUAUCCAAGUUAUUGACCAGAUUUGGCACUCGGUGAUUUUUUGGCCAAUGCCAAAAAUGGAUUCUUACAUCAAAGGACAAAGACUUGGGACCAGCGAACACAAUCAAAUCCUAAAGGUGAAACAAGACCUUGAGAUACAAUGGCAGCAUUGUUGGAGUGAGUACAUGGCAUUUGGAAGCCGGAUUCAUUUCAGCUUGAGCCUGCAGAGCCAAGCAAACCGGCUGAAAACUUCACCUACGGAAGCUUUUUUCAAGUUCUGAAACAACAAACUUGUAGAAAAACACAAUACAAAGACUUUCUUCCCCAAACCACCUGAGAGUCAGCUGCCAACCUGAGGCUCCAACAUCCUCAAAAGCUAAAAACAAGGAUGGUCUACAAACUACAACAAAAUCAUCAAGAUCAGGAAAUGAAGACUGCUACAUUACUAUGCUUUAAUCCUCAAAGCCUGCUCCAGGCCACCCCUUACACAUGGUGGGGACAGCAUGGGCCCUGACUCUCCGUGCAGUCUACUCUCCCCUCUGGACACUCUCCCCACCCUGAUCAAGCCCUAGCAUCCCACACUAGGUGACCCCAUCAGAAAGACCCUGUCUUCACCCUGCUUAGGCUCUGACUCUGGUGACAUCCACCAUGCCCUCCCAACAUGGAUCCUCUGUCCCAGGCCACCAUCCCCAUACCACGAGGGCCAACAUGCUGCUUUGUGCCACAACAGCUCCACACACCCCUCCUCAAAUGGUAUGUGCCUACCUUGCUCUGUCCCACCUAAUGGUUUCAGGACAGAACUGUUCAGAAAAAAGAAAGGGAGAGUGAUCACUUCUCACUCUUUGGCUCAAAACCCUCCAAUCGCUUUUUCAUCUUUCCCAGAAUAAAAUCCAAACUCUUUCCCAUGGUCCAACAGGUCCUAUAAAUCUUUCCCCUACCUCUCUACAUCUAUGCAGUAAAAAAAAAGCACUCUAUAUUUACUGGCCUUUAUUCAAACAUACUAAAAACUCUUUUUUGGGCAUCUGAGUGGCUCAGUCAGUUAAGCAUCUGACUUCAGCUCAGGUCAUUCCUGGGUUCAAGCCCCACAUCAGGCUCUGUGCUGACAGCUCAGAGCCUGGAGCCUGCUUCAGA